CAGAGAAAUAAAUGGUUAACUCCAUUUCUGGCUCAGAAGUCUUUUUCCCUACUCGUUCAGAAACCACAAUACUUACUAUAGUAAAGCUAUUUUGAUGAUAUGGGCUGUCGAAAAGUCACAAAGAACUAUGUGAAAGAAAGGCUUUUAUGAUCACAAUGAAAUAAGGUGCACAAAAUGGUUAAUCCAUGUGAUGUCUGCAACUGAUACACAUCUGGGAGUAGGAAGGAAGGAACCUGAAGACACCUGCUAUGACUACAAUGAACUGCACUUGCAGGCUGUUUGCUCUACUGGGCAACAUAACAGUUGGCUGGCAGGCUGGAAAUAGCUAGCCACAGCAUCUUUGUCAACAUCCAGCAGCAAUUAGUGAAAAGGAGUCAGUGCUGAAUGCUAGCAUCUCAGCUGCGGGAGAUCCAAUAGCUGCUUCAACUUCCAUUUUCUAUUCAUAUUUGCAUAGUGGCUUUGGCCAUAUUAGAACAAGGCAAACUUAUUUAUAGGGGAGAGAGUUAAGCAGAUUUCCUCAACACAUCUCUGCCUUGAACUUUGUCAAAGAUAUAACCUUUCCGUGCAUCCACACAGAAGCCUCCCUCGGACUAUCAUCAUCUCACCGUUAUUGUCACUUUUUUUUACUUUGCUCUUAAUCCUUUUGGCCCCACUCACCUCAAAUACAGCUGUAGUCAUCCAUUCUCACCUCAGUUCUAAGUGUGGUUCUACACCCAUCACUUUGAGCCUUUCACCCCUCUUCUCACUACCCCUUCUCUAUCGUACCAAGUGUACACUGAUUGUUUUUACUCUUGGGGGUCUUCACAGCCUAACUGCACUCUACCUACCACCUCUAGCUCACUAUCAGAAUAGUAAUGCUUGCUUCUUCAUGUCCCAGUUCUUUAAGAAGCAGCCUUAGAUGAGCCAGCAAUUGUGGUUGGCUCAUUGAACAUGUGUUUUGGAACAGAAGUAUUGCCGUUCCUCCUUCCCUAUACAAUUACAAAGAGGCAAGUGGCAUCUGGUCACAUCUUGUUUUGUUUUGUGCAUCUGGCCAGGAUGCUCCAAUAAGAAUAUGUCCCGGCAGAACUUCAGAUUGAUCACUGACAAUUAUGAGUUGCCUAAAAUGGAUCCAGCUGAUCCUGGUGCAUCAAAAAUAAACAAAUGGCACGCAGUCACAAAAAUAAUUUUUUGUACUCAUUUUGCAUUGGAGUCCAUUCAAAUGGGACACUGGCAGGAUAUCCAGUAAGCCGUGUUUCCUCUGGGAAAAAAACCCAACAGAUGUUACAUUUGGAAAACUUUAAAGUAUGCAUCAAAUCAGUGAUUCUCAACCAGGGUGCCAUGGCACCCUGGAAUCCUGUGACAUCCUUUUAAGGGCAGUGUACAAUAUGAGCACUGUUCAGUGUGCAAAAAACCUACACAGGAGUCACAAGAUAUACCAAAAGAUUUCAAAAAAGUAUCCAUAGUGUCAAAAAUAGUCUGACUUGCGUGGUUCUUCAGAGUUCUUUGCAACAGAAGAAUAGCUCUAUCAUUCUACCAGAGUCAAAAAACAAGUGAAAGCUAAGCUAAGAGCUGGCAUUUUCCAUGGGGUGCCUUGAAUCUAACAAGGUUGAGAACCAGUGAUCUUUCGCAUGAAUGCACUCAGAUCCAAGGCAAAUACCUGAUUUUUAUUCUUGAAAGGGGCAAGCAAACAGAGGAAGGAUAACUGGAAAGUUUGUUCAUUCUUAGAUAGGUGACAAAACUAUCUAUGAUGAUAUGAAGCACAAGAGGGUUUUGAUAGCUGUCUGUUUGGGAAUACCUGCAUAAUUCAUUCAUGAGAAUAAAACCCCUACCCACAUCAUCAUCUUCCAUCUAUGCAUUAGUUCUGGAUUCUCUCCAGUGCUCCCUUUAUGGAAUGGUAUAGAGAAAGUCGCCCCCUACUUCCAUGACCAUAUGGGAAAGUAGCUGUGGUUCUGCUGCACACAGGGAGAGAUGUCCCAGUCCCAGGUACCAGACCCACAAUCUCCAAAGGUGUCCAUGUACCUCUGUACAUGUGGGGGCCUGAAGGCAGGACAAUCAAAAUAUGAAUUGUCAGGCCCAGCAGUAGCCCAGCUUGAUGAAAUGUUAGGUUUGUAGUAGUGGUUGUAGCCAAAAUAGGUCUAAUGGUGCUCCUCAGCUAAGAAGCAGUAAUCCUUCUUCCUGACCCCAGCAGAGUCCCCUCUGCCAAACCUUAGGGUUGAUGCAGGGAACCACAAUUUUUCUCAGUAAAAAGAGUGAUAUCUUUGGUUUGGGUAGAGCAAUUUGUGACCUUGGUAAAUGCAGCUGUAAUCAAUUUUAUUUAAUGCUUUGACAUAAAUAAGAUUGUAAAAACAAGAUCAGAUAGCUAUAGAUGUGAUAGAAAUAAAUAUAACACAGCUCUGAAUUCAUCCCCACUGGUAUUACAAGGCCUCAGCAGCAGGAAGUUCAACCAGAGGUGAUCUGUGAUAGUACAAGAUGUCCAGCAUGCAUGCUUCCCAAGGGAACAGAACCAGUCAGCAUCGUCUAAAUGAGUAUUGCUGAGCACUGGUUGAGAAGGGAGAAACAGGCAAGAGGGCAAGAGGAUUAUGUCUGUUCAGCAUGUCACUUACUAUCAGUAGAAACUCUUUAUAUCAGUGGCUGGCCAUGGGCCAGAACCACCCAACUCUAACCCAUCAUCACUUACUCAGCUCCCUACUCCUCAGGUGGAACAUGAGUACAGCUUCCAGCUAGUAGAGAGCUGCACGAAGGCCAAGCAGCUAGAAGCUGUGUUCAUGCUGCAGCUACUUCUGCACUGCUGUUGGGAGACAUGAGAGGGACGCUGAAAAGCAGCAGCAGCAAGAGCACAGCUGGAAGUUGUCCAGCCCCAGUGUGGCUCCUUGCUGCUUAGCCCUGGCACAGGCACAAGCACAAGCAAAGCCCUUGGGCUCUGUGGGCCAGAGCCAGCCUACAAGCCAUACAUUGCCAGCCCCUGCUUUACACAAUUUAAGACUCCCCUGCCCCCAAACAGAGCAUCCAAAAGGAAGGAAUGUAUGGAGCAAGCACCUGUUCCAUCCUGAUGGUAAAUCCUUCUCAGCUACAGGUUGCAGUUCAUAGCUGCAGUAAAUUACAUCAUAAUACCUCAUCCUGGUAUAUUAUUUGACAUUAACUUCCAUUCGUGUAGCAGAGAUGUUACUGAUAAUAUUAUGGUCCUGAUUUCACAGACACUCCCAGGUGGACCCUUACUGUCAUGACUAGUUCAUUCAAAGAGCCUCGUUAGACCUUAUGCUGUAAGCUGAACAAAUGCUAAUCGGCUUAGUGUUGUUCAGGUUAGUGGAGCAGUCACACAUGUAACACCCACACGUGUGUGUGUGUGUGUGUGUGUUUGUGCAUGCGCGUGCGUGUGCGCACGCGUUUGUGUGUGUGGUCGGUCAAGAUGAUUUCUGUUCUUCUGGCUAUGUGCUCAACACAUGGCAAGCUGGGGCCUGUAUUUGGGCAAAAUAUGUAAAACCCUCAGGCUUCAUUGGCCAGAAGAAGCAGGGGAUUCUUCAGGCAGAUUGGUUGGGAGAAAGACUGGAGUGUGUCAUUCCCUGACUGGACAAGGCCAAGCUGAAGUCAUGCAGAGGGAUAUAAGGUGGAUGGGUUGGUUUGGGGAGGAGGAGAAGCUGCUAGGGGCUGCUGAAGUGUGAAGUCUUUUCCAAGGAAGAAAGAAUUUGCAGAUAGCAAAAAAGUAGAGGAAGGAGAGAGAGAGAGAAUUGCCCCAGUGCCUGGGAACUCCCCUGUCCUCCUUUUCUUCCCCUUUUUCUUUUGACAUUUUAAGGAAUUCAUACUAGGGAAAAGAGUAUUGGUUCCUUGGGCUGACUGGCCAGGAAUUAGGCCUAGCAGUUUUAAACAGGGUUGAAACCUGAAAGUUUCUAAUUCUACCAUGUUUGGGCUGGGGUUGAGGUUUGCAGCUUUCUGCUCCCAGUGGAGCUGUGGACCCAAACUACCUGCAGUUCAGGCCUGGCUUUCCCCUUUGUUUCUUUUGAUGGUUCAUCUCUCUAGUCAAGUAGUGUGGUUGGGUCAGCUGUAGCCAUUAAUCAACUUGGCUCCUUUUCAAGUUUGUCCUGCAGUUUCAUUUCAGCAGGCCAUAUAAUCCAGUUCAGAGGUUUUGGGGUGCAUACAUGCUGACUGGAGCUGCAAUCACUCCCCCCUUCUGCCCCCCAACACACAACCUCUCUGUGGGAGCAAAGAUCAGUAAUCUACCACUCCUCCAAGAGCAACAAAGUCCCCUGAAAUGCAGAAGGACCCAUGCUCUCAAGCAGCUCCUCACAGAGCAGUGAACCCAAGAAGCAGCUCGUGGGACUCUCCGAUGUGUCCCUCCCUUUCCAGCCCAUUACUGAAGGGAAGGUAUGGGGGUUCAGGCACCCAGAACUACCUAUUGGGGAGCCCAAACUGGUACCCAGACUGCUUAGGUAUGCAUGAAGUCCCCCAAAGAAGGUGCCACCUAUAUACUUUGCUUUGUAGUUAGUAGUGUUUUAAAAUUAUAUUUAAUGUUUUCUAUGUUUUGUUUUAUUCUCCAUAAUAAACGUGGUUGUUUGUGCUUA